rnacentral:ncRNA from 4 species
AAACGACUCUCGGCAACGGAUAUC